rnacentral:misc_RNA from 1 species
UCCAUGCAGCAUUGCUCUUUGGGAAGACUAUGAGCUGAGGGGCUUCGCACCAUUAGCUUCUUCUCAUGUGUCAUUAGAUUUUUCAAGCCACUGGGGACAUGCAGACAGUUAUGAAUGUGGCACUGAAUGCCGUGCUCAACGCAUUAUUAAUGCUGCAAUCAAGAUAGCAGAAAGAUCAAAUGGUGAUCGGAAGUGGAUCUGCUAUGAUAAAUCUGGAAGAAAAUUUUAUGUACCAGAGUUGAAUAAAUUUGCAAACAAGAAAGAAACAGAAAAGGUGGAGUCCUGUGGUAAUGUGGAAGUGGGUGAUUCUGAUCAGCAUAUUCACAAAAUGAUGGAGGGAUCUGAGAAGAUUGAGGAGAAACCAAAUAACUCUCAUGUAAUCAGCAAGUCUGUUGCUGUGGAGGAGGAAGAAGUCAUUCUCUUCAAGCCUCUCACAAGAUAUAAUUCUGCACCAAUUUAUAAUGGUAUUGCAGCUAAUGAUCAAACGACUCCAGAAGAUAAAUUGGACCAGAUAGUACCUGCUGAUGAAUGUUUGCGACGUGCGACUUCACUGCUAAUAGCACAAAACCAGGUCCAGGGUGAUUCUUCAGCAUUCCAUUCUGAUCUCACUAAUUUUAGGCGCAACAAGCCAUUGCAACAUCAGGAGCCUCUUGUAAAGGAUGCAGUAGCACACCCAUUUUCAGAAUUCUCUAUUUCUUCUUCUGGGCCUUUCUCUUUCAGCACCUCCAUCUCUGCCGGACCACCCUCACUCAAUGCUUGGGUCCUCAAUAGAGGAAGUUUGAGCAAUGAUAGAGCGAAAGGGCAAAGAGAGAUGAAUAAAAUGCUGCCUAUUGAGGAAAUAGCAUCUGCAUCACUUAAUGAUCUCUUCAUCAGUGAUGCUGAGAAUUCUGUCAUUAGUUUAGGGCAUGAAGCUGUUACCAUGCAUAACUCUUCUCCUGCUUAUUCAGCACCAUUGCCUUCUGCUCCACUCUUGCCUGAUUAUUCUAUUUGGUUUAAUGGCAUUCAAUCUACCUUCUCUGACUACAAUGGCUUGGGAAACAUCAACAGAACAAACAAUUUCUUUGAUGCAUCACAAGUGAGCAGCUAUUCAAAUUGGACAGGUUCUCAGCAGCCACUUGAUUAUGGUCUUGGUAUCCCUGGUUUGGUGGAUGGAUAUCCACCAUUGCGUCGAAUGACUUCAUCUGAAUGGCUUCGUCAAUACAGGGAAAAUCAUAAUCUUGAGCGGACCACAAGUCAAACAUGGCCAGUACAUUCAUAUGCUACUGUGAACUCAGGAAACCUCUAUGGUUAUGAUAUGUCCAGGUCUGGUCUUUUUGAUCAAUUUGGAGCUCCUUUGGCUACUAAUCCAUUGAUUUAUGAGGAGAGCCCACCGUUGCAUUCAGGUUUUCCUCCUGUUUAUGGCAAUGUUGACUACAGAAGGGACAAGCUCUAUCCUGGUUAUCAAAGACCAAGCCCUUAUGGGUGUGGUGCUGUGAAUGAGCCUGAGCCUCUUUUGCAGUAUCUUAAGGAGAAAGAAUGGCUGCUCCAGCAAGAUCCAACCUUGAGAGGUCCUGCAUAUAUGGGAAGUUGAAAUUUUCAUAUGACCAUAGAAUAUGAGCCUUUCACAUGGCUGCACAACUUUCAUUGGAACUUCAUUGCCACAAAAUGCUUAGGAGGUUUUAUUUUUUUUUUUUUCAGCAUAUAGUANUAGUAGGCCUUAAAUGGUCAUUUAUGUGGGUUUAUAACUUUAAAUGUCUGUUAAUGGGAUGUGUACAUAU